rnacentral:lncRNA from 1 species
GGUGUUAAAGAAACAUUUUCAAUUAAAUAUUUAAUUAGGAUGAUGUAUGGAGAAGAGAGUUACGUAAGUGUAGAAGAUGAGAAAGGUUAAGUGAGUGGAGUUUGGUAAAACCGUGGGGUCCACAUGAGUGGUUAAAAGGAAAUAAAAUAAAAGUAUGGAAAGUGGUGGAAGUUUUACGUAAGAGUUUAUAAGAUGGGUUUAGUAAAAUGGAUGAACCAUGUGGGGCCACUUAAGUAUAUAUAUCUUAGUUUAAUAUUUUGAAUAUAAAGUGGGGUCCAUUUGGGUAGGUGAAAGAGUUUUGAUAGGAUUUAGAAAAAUAGGGGUGUGUGUUUAGUAGAUAGUUAACUAUUUUAUUUUGGAUUGACUUGUCAUUAUUUUGGGGUUGAUUAAUGAUUGUUUUGAGAAUGUUGGGGAUAUGUAAAUAUUAUUGGGUGGUUGUGUGAGUAUGGAGAUGAUUAUCUCUUGUGAUGUUGGAUUUAUGUUUAUGUGAUGCCCGAUGAAGCUCUUGGAAGAGUGGUGGAAGUAGCACUAGUACUUGCCCGAUGAAGCUCUUUGAGAAUAAAGUGGUGGGGGUGUAUACUUGUCCGGUGAAGCCCAAGAGGGUGGUGGAAAGCAUAUACUUGCCCGGGGAAGCUCUAAGAGAGUGGUGGGAAGUGGUGUACUUGCCGAUGAAGCCUUUCAGAGAGUGGUGGGAAAUGUCUUUGUGUAACGGUAUCGUAAAGUGUACCUGCCCGG